CUAAAGUGAUUCGCAGCUAUGUUAUGGAAUCGAUUUAACGAAUCAGAUCUGAAGGCUAAUAGUAGUUUAAUUAUCAUAAGCCUCACUUUCAACAUGAACAGACUGAACAAAUUAAACUACCCCCAUGCUAAAGUAUAGCCGGGGAAAUUCAUACAGUCCAGUUUUAUACAAAUUAUGCAAAACUCCAUUAAACAUUACUGUUCUAAAUACAACAGAGCAGGAAAACUCAGAGAUCAAUUGAAAUACAUUUAUCAUUUCAAUUUCUCAACAUCAGAUCUACAACAAUUCCUUCACAGUUCCUACAAGACCAGGAAGAGUACCUGGAGAUUAGAAUGCAGUAAGAAGAAGGAGAAGUUAGCAACAACAAGGCAGGUAAAAACGAUUGGAGUUCAAACAGCAACAACACAAUCAGUUCCAGCCCAGAAAUGAAUCAGUGACCCAGAAAUGUUUUAAAUCAAGCAGCACUGAUAGAUCAACCCAAAAUAGCAUUAAAGUAACCAAAAAUGAACCUAGUAAAUUAACACACUCACCAGAUAAUCCACAACCAACUCGAACAAAUCAGAUCUAAUGCACAGAUGCUUCCAACAACUUUCAAACCUUAGAUAUCGAACAUAAAUAGGUAAAUUAAGUAGUUUUUGAUCCUAAAUGAGCUAUAGAGUUGAAUAAAAUGCUGGAAUUUGAAAGUUAUCUAAGGAAAAUAAAUGUAAUAGUGCUUUUUUUUUGGAUUUUCAGUUCCUUUUUUUUUUGUAUUUUUGAGAGAACUAAGAUCUAAAGAAGUUUGAUUUGAAAUUCAAAUUUCAGAUCUAUGGAACUUGAAGAAUAUUUUUGGGGCAAAUUUUAGGUGGUCCAAACUUGUUUCUGAAGGCACUGGGGCUGUUUUAUAUAAGCAAAAAUGAGGGCAGCACUCAGAUUUUC
rnacentral:lncRNA from 1 species